rnacentral:rRNA from 1 species
AUUGAACGCUGGCGGCAUGCUUUACACAUGCAAGUCGAACGGCAGCGCGGGCUUCGGCCUGGCGGCGAGUGGCGAACGGGUGAGUAAUGCAUCGGAACGUGCCCAGUAGUGGGGGAUAGCCCGGCGAAAGCCGGAUUAAUACCGCAUACGACCUGAGGGUGAAAGCGGGGGACCGAAAGUCCUCGCGCCAUCGGCGCGGCCGAUGUCGGAUUAGCUAGUUGGUGGGGUAAAGGCUUACCAAGGCGACGAUCCGUAACUGGUCUGAGAGGAUGACCAGCCACACUGGGACUGAGACACGGCCCAGACUCCUACGGGAGGCAGCAGUGGGGAAUGUUGGACAAUGGGGGCAACCCUGAUCCAGCCAUACCGCGUGCGGGAAGAAGGCCUUCGGGUUGUAAACCGCUUUUGUUCGGAAAGAAAUCCUCUGGGCUAAUACCCCGGGGGGAUGACGGUACCGGAAGAAUAAGCACCGGCUAACUACGUG